rnacentral:rRNA from 1 species
UACGGAGGAUCCAAGCGUUGUCCGGAAUCAUUGGGCGUAAAGCGCGCGUAGGUGGCCACAUAAGUCCGUUGUGAAAGUCAAAGGCUCAACCUUUGAAAGCCGAUGGAUACUGUGUGGCUAGAGUACGGAAGAGGCGAGUGGAAUUCCUGGUGUAGCGGUGGAAUGCGUAGAUAUCGGGAGGAACACCAGUGGCGAAGGCGGCUUCCUGGCCUGUUCUUGACGCUGAGGCGCGAAAGCUAGGGGAGCAAACGGG